rnacentral:rRNA from 1 species
CACUAGCGUAUAUUAAAGUUGUUGCAGUUAAAAAGCUCGUAGUUGGAUUUCUGGUUGAAGCGACCGGUCGGGCGUUGAUUCGUCUGCACUGGAGUCGGUUUUGGCCAUCCUCUAGGAAAGUGCGUCUGGUAUUAAGUUAUCGGGCGUAUGAUCCUGGUCUUUUACUGUGAAAAAAUUAGAGUGUUUAAAGCAGGCCUUCGCCUUGAAUACAUUAGCAUGGAAUAAUAAGAUAGGACUUUGGUCUAUUUUGUUGGUUUGCAGACCGAAGUAAUGAUUAAUAGGGAUAGUUGGGGGUAUUUAUAUUCCGAUGUCAGAGGUGAAAUUCUUAGAUUUUCGGAAGAUAAACUUAUGCGAAAGCAUUUACCAAGGAUGUUUNCAUUAA